UGGGGGAUAUUGGACAAUGGGGGCAACCCUGAUCCAGCGACGCCGCGUGAGGGAAGAAGGUUUUCGGAUUGUAAACCUCUGUCGACAGGGAAAAUAAUGAUGGUACCUGUGGAGGAAGCCACGGCUAACUACGUGCCAGCAGCCGCGGUAAUACGUAGGUGGCAAGCGUUGUCCGGAAUUACUGGGUGUAAAGGGAGCGUAGGCGGGACGGCAAGUCAGAAGUGAAAAUUAUGGGCUCAACUCAUAACCUGCUUUUGAAACUGUUGUUCUUGAGUGAAGUAGAGGCAAGCGGAAUUCCUAGUGUAGCGGUGAAAUGCGUAGAUAUUAGGAGGAACACCAGUGGCGAAGGCGGCUUGCUGGGCUUUUACUGACGCUGAGGCUCGAAAGCGUGGGAAGCAAACAGGAUUAGAUACCCUGGUAGU
rnacentral:rRNA from 1 species